rnacentral:rRNA from 1 species
GAUGAACGCUAGCGGGAGGCUUAAUACAUGCAAGUCGAGGGAGAAUUCUGACUUCGGUCAGGAGGAAACCGGCGCACGGGUGAGCAACACGUACACAACUUGCCCCUAACUGGGGAAUAGCCCUGGGAAACUGGGAUUAAUACCCCAUAAUAUUGACGCAUCUCAUGAAAUGUCAAUUAAAGUUCCGGCGGUUAGGGAUAGGUGUGCGUCCCAUUAGCUUGUUGGUGAGGUAACGGCUCACCAAGGCGACGAUGGGUAGGGGGCGUGAGAGCGUGAUCCCCCACACGGGUACUGAGACACGGACCCGACUCCUACGGGAGGCAGCAGUAAGGAAUAUUGGACAAUGGGCGCAAGCCUGAUCCAGCCAUCCCGCGUGCAGGAAGAAGGCCCUACGGGUCGCAAACUGCUUUUGUCAGGGAAGAAACCUCUCGAUUUACUCGAGAGCU